AUGCGGUUCCGGACCUUCUCCUCGAAGCAUGGCCAAUGGGGCGUCAUCCGCCAAGCCUCCGUCGCCGAGCACCACCAAAAGCCGAAACGGCUGCUUGUCUCCCGUCCCGCCGUCAUCGGCCGCACCGUCUUCUGCCUCUGCUGCCUCCUAAACGCCCAGAUUGGGUACCAGCCGGACGGCAUCGUCGCUCUGGACGUCGACGCGGCAGAGGCGACGACCAUGAAGCUCCCGCCAGGCUGCACCUCCACAACCACAAGGAUCCUCCGUGACGAAGACGAGCACCUCCUCUUGGCCUCCGUGCGUGGCCGUCUGAGCUUGCUCGUCGCCGUGAGAGGUGGGAUAUCGAUGUGGACCUUGACGCCGGCCUCGUCGCCUGAGUCCCCGGCGACCUGGAACUGGCGGCUGGGGAUCGGUAGGGUGGAGUUUGAGAAGCAGGUGGAUCAGGUCGGCUCGCCUCCUCGAUAUGUUAUUGAGGGGUUCGGAGAGAGGAGCGGCACAGUUAUCGUGCGGGGCAGCAGCGACCUCCUCCGGGUUGAUCUAGGAACCAAGGUCGUCACCAAGUUCCAUUGCUCGCGAAAUGCGUUGGUCGCGUACCCGUUUUUGUUAUGGCACGAGGAAGAUUUGGUCUCUUUGCUUCAAGCCAUGAAGUAUUUCUGA
rnacentral:rRNA from 1 species